AAUUAAGAAUUUAUAAAUCAAACCCAUAGCCGGCCAAUACCUUAUCUUAUCGAGUUUUACCUGACAAUUUCUAAGACCUUUGAGGACAUAGUACUACACGCAGUGAAUAAAAAUCGACAUGUUGGGACCAGUAGCAAGGGUUUCCCAUCGUUUGGGGCAAAAUGUAAUGAAGAUGAGUGUUAGGAAUGGCUCUCACGGAGGUAUACCUGGAGAGAACAUGCCAUUCGACAUUCACAACAAAGCACGCCUAACGUUUAACAUGUUCUGGUUCUUUGGAACUGGCUUCGCCGCUCCUUUCCUCAUUGUGUGGCACCAGAUGAGAAAGAAUGCAGCUUCCUAAAUAAUGAUGGUAA